AUUUGCAAUGCAGAAAUCUGUGGAUCCAAUAGUUCCCGUAGUCCUCAACGAUGAAAUACGUGCAUAGUUGCAAUACGAUUUCCCACAGUGGAGGCAAAGGUAAGCUUGUUCUUAUCCCAAUGAACUUCACAAAAAAACAAAAAAUAAAUAAAUAAAUAACAAACAGAUCUAAAUUGAAUCAAAACCUAAUUUAAUUCAAACGAAUGGAAAUUAUUCCACAUUGAAUCAAAUUUUUUGCACAACAAAAAAAAAAUUAAAACAUGAAAUUCAUCUUUCAAUUCGACGAAUGGAAAAGCAAAUUGACGGAAAUGAGAUUGAAUUGCACCUUGAUUGAGGGGUAGGAGACGAGCUGAAGGGGGCCGACGACGAGGAAGAACAUGCGCAUGACGGAUUUGUAGCAGUGGAGGGUUUCGGAGAAGGAGAGCUUGACUUUGG
rnacentral:lncRNA from 1 species